rnacentral:lncRNA from 1 species
UUUUCAAUCGAUUAGCUUUCCUUUUUAUAGAGUGAAAUGAGCUCCCCAAAAUCAUGUGUGGAUCCUUGGCAGAUGGUGCAAAAAGGAAUCAUUCCGUUAGCAUCAAAUCUUUCUUUAGAUUUUGGUGGGGACCAACGUAAAUAUGGUAGGAAACGGAUUUGAUUGUGGUCCCAAAAAAUCUCCAAAUGCGUGGUCGUCUUCACUGAAUCUCCC